AUCUGCCUGAGUUUAUUUAGAGUCACCAAAGCUGCCGGGCCGAGACCUGGAUUGGUUUUGGUCUGAUAAAUGCACGCAUCCCCGGAAGGUCAGCGCUCGUCAGCAUGUAUUAGCUCUAGAAUUACCACAGUUAUCCAAGUAAUGGUGGAGCAAUCAAAGGAACCAUAACUGAUUUAAUGAGCCAUUCGCAGAAACACUAAUAC